UACAUGCUUUUAAAGUAUGGAAUUUGGUGAUUUACAAUAACUUAGCAAAUCGCAUAGUGAAACAGGCGAUAAAUCAUUCAAGUUUCUGACCUAUCAGCUUUCGACGGUAUGGUAUUGGCUUACCGUGGCAGUGACGGUAACGGGGGAUUAGGGUUCGAUUCCGGAGAGGGAGCCUGAGAAACGGCUACCACAUCUAAGGAAGGCAGCAGCGCGCAAAUUACCCAAUUCUAACAGCAUAAGAGAGGUAGUGACAAGAAAUAACAAUACAAGGCAGUUAAAAUGCUUGUAAUUGGAAUGAUAGAAAUUUAAACACUUUUUAAAGUAUCAAUUGGAGGGCAAGUCUGGUGCCAGCAGCCGGGUAAUUCCAGCUCCAAUAGCGUAUAUUAAAAUUGUUGCAGUUAAAAAGCUCGUAGUUGAAUUUCUGCUAAAAAUACCGGUCUGCUUUUAAUAAAGGUGGUAUCUUGGUGUGUUUUUAGCAAUAAUGUCCUUUGAAAUGUUUUUUACUUCAUGUAAUAAAUUAUUUUCAGGAUUUUUACUUUGAGAAAAUUAGAGUGUUUCUAGCAGGCUAACGCUUUGAAUACGCAGCAUGAAAAAAAUAAGA
rnacentral:rRNA from 1 species